UCAUGUUGUGGCUGGAAGCGCCCCGCCCUCAGAGACUGAAGCAGUUGUAGUCCCAUGUGCUGAGCUCCAGAAUGCACUCUCCCUGCCCCUAGCAGAUAAGGCUCAACACGUUUCAGAACAUACCACUGACACACAGCCAGAUGCACUCACACUAGACCAGGUAGUUUGUGCACAGCCACCUCUAGUUUGCACUAGGUUGGGUAGACCUGUUAGACCCCCAGCUCGACUCAUUUGUGAAAUGAAUGAACAAGUUGUCGAUGACUCUGUGUCAACAGUUGAUUCUUUGUUUUCUUUUGUGAGGAACAUGUUUUCUGGAUAGAGUGCUAUCUGUUAUGGAGCUAUUUUGUGUUUUUUUUUGCACUAGUACUUAGCUGAGGUAUGUCAGAGUUAUUUCUGUUAUGGAGCAAUGUUUACAAUAUAAGAGGUGUACAUGGCAUCUUUUGUGUCUUUGUUAGUAAGGGGAUUGGCCGACCCCUUGUUGACUCAUUCCCUAGUGGAAAGUUUCUAACUGACUUGAACUGAGUUAUGCUCUACUCACUACACAACUGAAGUUUUGUGAUUUGUUUGUUUUGUUUUAUUGUGUAUUGUACCCCAAUUUAGCAGGAUUUAAGGGGGGUGAAUGUAACAUAGUUAAAUAGGUCUGAGUUAAAUCCAGCUAAAUGGGACAACUACGCCACCUGCUGUUGAAAAGGUUCGCCUGCAUGAAUGCUAAAAGCAAGGGAUUGUGGGUAGUCCUCAAAGCGAUGAAGGACUUAUGAGGAGACAGAGGCGCUGUUGCCCACGAGAUGAGAUCUACCUCCUUUUAUACUUUCUUGUUAUGUAUGCAGAUGCAGAUGUGAAUAAACCUGCUGAUACCACAAGCCAGGCCAGUUCCUGAAGGUUUCAUUUUAGAAGGAAGACAUCCCACAAGGGUUACAUAUAAACACGUUGAAAAUAAAAAAAGGAAGCAAAAUUUCAUCAGGUGCUGUGGGUCUAUUUGUGGUUUGAAUCAUCCGGGUCAACUCUUUCACAAUGGAACACAGGAUUGCUGUGG